CUACGGGCCGCUCCAGUGAGGAAUUUUGCGCAAUGGGGGAAACCCUGACGCAGCAACGCCGCGUGAGUGAUGAAGGCUUUCGGGUCGUAAAGCUCUGUCAAGUGGGAAGAACUCAUAUGGUGUUAAUACUGCCAUAUGUUGACGGUACCACUGAAGGAAGCACCGGCUAACUCCGUGCCAGCAGCCGCGGUAAUACGGGGGGUGCGAGCGUUAUUCGGAAGUACUGGGCGUAAAGAGCGCGUAGGCGGUCUUUUAAGUCAGGUGGGAAAGCCCGGGGCUCAACCCCGGAAGUGCACUUGAAACUAAGAGACUUGAGUAUGGGAGAGGGAAGUGGAAUUCCUGGUGUAGCGGUGAAAUGCGUAGAUAUCAGGAGGAACAUCGGUGGCGAAGGCGACUUCCUGGACCAAUACUGACGCUGAGGCGCGAAGGCGUGGGGAGCAAACAGGAUUAGAUACCCCUGUAGUC
rnacentral:rRNA from 1 species